rnacentral:misc_RNA from 1 species
AACGCACAUUGCGCCCCUUGGUAUUCCGAGGGGCAUGCCUGUUCGAGCGUCAUUACAACCCUCAAGCAUUGCUUGGUAUUGGGCUCCGCUGUUCACCCAGCAGGCCUUAAAAUCAGUGGCAGUGCCAUCGAGGCCCUGAGCGUAGUAAAUAUCCUCGCUAUAGGGACCGGUGGACACUGGCCAUCAACCCCCAACUUUCUAAGUUUGACCUCGGAUCAGGUAGGGAUACCCGCUGAACUUAA